UACCAGCACCCCGAGUGGUCGGGACGAUUAUUGGGCCUAAAGCAUCCGUAGCCGGUCUUACAAGUCCCCCGUUAAAUCCAACUGCUUAACAGAUGGGCUGCGGAGGAUACUAUAAGACUAGGAGGCAGGAGAGGCAAGCGGUACUCAGUGGGUAGGGGUAAAAUCCGUUGAUCCAUUGAAGACCACCAGUGGCGAAGGCGGCUUGCCAGAAUGCGCUCGACGGUGAGGGAUGAAAGCUGGGGGAGCAAACCGG
rnacentral:rRNA from 1 species